GAUGAACGCUGGCGGCGUGCCUAAUACAUGCAAGUCGAGCGAACAGACGAGGAGCUUGCUCCUCUGACGUUAGCGGCGGACGGGUGAGUAACACGUGGAUAACCUACCUAUAAGACUGGGAUAACUUCGGGAAACCGGAGCUAAUACCGGAUAAUAUGUUGAAUCGCAUGGUUCAACAGUGAAAGACGGUCUUGCUGUCACUUAUAGAUGGAUCCGCGCCGCAUUAGCUAGUUGGUAAGGUAACGGCUUACCAAGGCAACGAUGCGUAGCCGACCUGAGAGGCUGAUCAGCCACACUGGAACUGAGACACGGUCCAGAGUCCUACGGGAGGCAGCAGUAGGGAAUCUUCAGCAAUGGGCGAAAGCCUGACGGAGCAACGCCGCGUGAGUGAAGAAGGUCUUCGGAUCGUAAAACUCUGUUAUUAGGAAAGAACAAAUGUGUAAGUAACUAUGCACGUCUUGACGGUACCUAAUCAGAAAGCCAAGGCUAAAUACGUG
rnacentral:rRNA from 1 species